GACGUAGGGCGCGAGCGUUGUCCGGAUUUAUUGGGCGUAAAGAGCUCGUAGGCGGCUUGUUGCGUCGUCCGUGAAAUCCCAUGGCUCAACUGUGGGCUUGCGGUCGAUACGGGCAGGCUUGAGUUCGGUAGGGGAGACUGGAAUUCCUGGUGUAGCGGUGAAAUGCGCAGAUAUCAGGAGGAACACCGGUGGCGAAGGCGGGUCUCUGGGCCGAUACUGACGCUGAGGAGCGAAAGCGUGGGGAGCGAACAGG
rnacentral:rRNA from 1 species